rnacentral:rRNA from 1 species
UACAGAGGUCCCAAGCGUUGUUCGGAUUUACUGGGCGUAAAGGGCGCGUAGGCGGCACCGCAAGUCGACUGUGAAAUCUCCGGGCUUAACCCGGAAACUGCCAUUGAUACUAUUUGUCUUGAAUACUGUGGAGGUCAGCGGAAUAUGUCAUGUAGCGGUGAAAUGCUUAGAUAUGACAUAGAACACCAAUUGCGAAGGCAGCUGGCUACACAAAUAUUGACACUGAGGCACGAAAGCGUGGGGAUCAAACAGG